rnacentral:rRNA from 1 species
UGGGGAAUAUUGGGCAAUGGGCGAAAGCCUGACCCAGCGACGCCGCGUGGGCGAUGAAGGCCUUCGGGUUGUAAAGCCCUUUCGUGCGGAAAGAACAGUCUUACGGUUAAUACCCGUAGGAUUUGACGGUACCGCAGGAAGAAGCACCGGCUAACUCCGUGCCAGCAGCCGCGGUCAUACGGAGGGUGCCAGUGUUGUUCGGAAUUAUUGGGCGUAAAGGGCGCGUAGGCGGUAAUGAAAGUCAUAUGUGAAAUACUUCGGCUCAACUGAAGAACUGCAUCUGAAACUUCAUAACUCGAGUACAGAAGAGGGAAACGGAAUUCCCGGUGGAGAGGGGAAAUUCGGAGAUAUCGGGAGGAACACCAGUGGCGAAGGCGGUUGCCUGGUCUGAUACUGACGCUGGGGCGCGAAAGUGUGGGGAGCAAACA